rnacentral:rRNA from 1 species
CCUACGGGAGGCAGCAGUGGGGGAUAUUGCACAAUGGGGGAAACCCUGAUGCAGCAACGCCGCGUGAGUGAGGAAGUAUUUCGGUAUGUAAAGCUCUAUCAGCAGGGAAUAGAAGAGCAGGUACCUGAAAACGAAGCCCCGGCAAACUACGUGCCAGAAGCCGCGGUAAUACGUAGGGGGCAAGCGUUAUCCGGAUUUACGGGGUGUAAAGGGAGCUUAGACGGAGAGGCAAGUCAGGAGUGAAAACCCACGGCUCAACCAUGAGACUGCUUUUGAAACUGUACAACUUGAGUACGGGAGAGGUAGGCGGAAGUCCUAGUGUAGCGGUGAAAUGCGUAGAUAUUAGGAGGAACACCAGCGGCGAAGGCGUCUUACUGGACCGAAACUGACGUUGAGGCUCGAAAGCGUGGGGAGCAAACAGGAUUAGAUACCCUAGUAGUC